GAAAUUAUCCUCAAGAUAUGAAAGAAAACUAUUUCAAAUGCUUAAUUUAAUUAAUAGUCAACAACUUAGCCACGUGUGGUGGUGUGCCUGUAGUCCCAGCUACUAGGCAGGGUAAGGUAGGAGGAGCCCUUGUGCCAGGAGUUUGAGGCUGUAGUACACUAUUAUUGAGCUUAUGAAUAACCUCUGCACUUCAGCCUGGGCAAUAAAGCAAGACCCAGUCUCUAGAAAAAAAAAAUGAUUAGGUAAAGAAAAGAAAACAAAUUUUCACAAUGGGAGAAUGUGGUUUUACUAUCUGCUAGGCCCCUUCCAUCAAUUCUUAUUAAAUUCUCAAAAUAAUCCUUUGAAAAGGGAGUAUAAUUACAUUUUACAGUGACUCGAACCUUACCCAAACAAGUGGGAGAGCCAGGAGCCAAACUAUCAGGCUCCAAAGCUUUUUUUUAGUGCAUCACAAUGACAAAGGGGUGGUUUUCUUUCACCCAAGAAUGUGCUUUCCUGGAAAUUUUUCUAGAUAGAAUAUUAUGUAAUUUGUUUUGAAGGUUUUUUUUCCUGACUGUCUUAAAGAUUAUGCUAGCUUUAGAACACAUGCAAACAGCUGCAGCUCUGUGAUUAAAAUGUUAAGGUCACUAGAAUAGUGUUAGGAAAAUGUUAAUAGAUAAUUCUGCUGCCUCUAUUAGCUUAUGUAUGAUCCUUAAUAGCAUUGCUUCCCCUUCAGUUUCUAUUUAGGAGGUGAAGAAUCUUUUAAUAAGGUAGAAAGUUGCUUUAUUUAAAUUUGUACUGUAGAAUGUUUGUGAUACAGUAUUUGUAAAAUUGAUAUGAAAAAUAAUUUCUCAAAGUCUAUUGUUUGAUCUAGUUAUUUUAAUAAAGGAACUCUAGAAGUUUCAAGUGGCCAGUGAAGUGUGAGGAAUAGAGAGUAAAGGAAAUAAUUAAUAAUGGUGACCCUCUGUUAAGUGGUUUACUUUUUCCAUUAAUAUAAAUUUCAUUUGGAAAGAUUAAAAAAAC
rnacentral:lncRNA from 1 species